rnacentral:rRNA from 1 species
UGAACGCUGGCGGCGUGCCUAAUACAUGCAAGUCGCGCGAACAGACGAGGAGCUUGCUCCUCUGACGUUAGCGGCGGACGGGUGAGUAACACGUGGAUAACCUACCUAUAAGACUGGGAUAACUUCGGGAAACCGGAGCUAAUACCGGAUAAUAUAUUGAACCGCAUGGUUCAAUAGUGAAAGACGGUUUUGCUGUCACUUAUAGAUGGAUCCGCGCCGCAUUAGCUAGUAGGUAAGGUAACGGCUUACCAAGGCAACGAUGCGUAGCCGACCUGAGAGGGUGAUCGGCCACACUGGAACUGAGACACGGUCCAGACUCCUACGGGAGGCAGCAGUAGGGAAUCUUCCGCAAUGGGCGAAAGCCUGACGGAGCAACGCCGCGUGAGUGAUGAAGGUCUUCGGAUCGUAAAACUCUGUUAUUAGGGAAGAACAAAUGUGUAAGUAACUAUGCACGUCUUGACGGUACCUAAUCAGAAAGCCACGGCUAACUACGUG